rnacentral:rRNA from 1 species
GACGAACGCUGGCGGCGUGCUUAAUACAUGCAAGUCGAACGGUAAGGCGACAGCUUGCUUGGUCUCACGAGUGGCGCACGGGUGAGUAUCACGCGGGUGAACUGCCCCGAACUUAGGGAUAAACCUGGGAAAAUGGGUCUCAUAUCGGAUAGGAUCGCAUCGUGCGCGUGGGGCGAUAAGUCAUUCGGUGUGAGAUGGGACCGCGGCCUAUAUGCUCGCUGGAGUGGCAAUGGGCUACCAAGGCGGCGACCGGUAGCCGGCCUGCGAGGGCGGACGGCGACAUUGGGACUGAGACACGGCGCAGACUCCUACGGGAGGCAGCAGUGGGGAAUUUGGCAGAGUGGGCGGAAGCCUGAUGCAGCGACGCCGCGUGGGGGAUGACGGCCUUCGAGUUGUAAACACCUUUCUCCAUCGAUAAAGGUUUUCUGACGGUAGAUGGAGAAGAAGCACCGGCUAACUACGUG